CCAGCGUAGCUCAGUUGGAAGAGCAACUGACUUGUAAUCAGUAGGUCGCCGGUUCGAGUCCGGCCAAAAGCUGUA
rnacentral:tRNA from 1 species